rnacentral:rRNA from 1 species
AAUCAACGCUGGCGGCGUGCCUAACACAUGCAAGUCGCGCGCGAAAGGGGGGCGACCCCCGAGUAAAGCGGCGAACAGGUGAGUAACACGUGGGUAAUCUACCUUCGAGUGGGGGAACAACAUCGGGAAACUGGUGCUAAUUCCGCAUGACAUCGUCGGGGCUUCGGUUCCGACGCUCAAAGCUGGGGAUCGUAAGACCUAGCGCUUGAAGAUGAGCCCGCGUCCGAUUAGCUAGUUGGCGGGGUAAUAGCCCACCAAGGCUCCGAUCGGUAGCCGGCCUGAGAGGGCGGGACGGCCGACACUGGAACUGAGACACGGUCCAGACUCCUACGGGAGGCAGCAGUGGGGAAUUUUUCGCAAUGGGGGCAACCCUGACGAAGCAACGCCGCGUGGGGAUGAAGGUCUUCGGAUUGUAAACCCCUGUCGACCGGGACGAAUGUAGAACGCCUAAUACGCCGAGCUAUUGACUGUACCGGUGGAGGAAGCC